CUCGUCUUCAGCAGGAGCGCGUGCAAUGAUGCUCGAUUCCUUGACCCUGAACUCAUAAACCUGCAGGAACAAAGGAAGGAGAACACAAGUUCAUCAGGAACUUUCCCCUACAAACUCAAGUUCAAAGAUAAAACGAGGUCUUCGUGCCGAUGAGCCGUGCAAUGGCGCAGAAGUUGUCGUAGUAAGUCCCGAUGAGAACCCUAAAGAGAGAAGCUUCUGCUCCACUCCAGUCCACAGCUUCAGCCUCCACACUCAGCUUCAUCUUCACUGGAGUCUGACACCACGGAGGGGGUGCUGGGCCGGCCGUUUGGCAGUCGUCCGCGGCGACGACCCACGGAGCGUUUGGAGGGCGUCUUGA